rnacentral:tRNA from 3 species
GCUGUAUUCGUCUAACGGUUAGGACGGUAGAUUCUCAGUCUACAAAUAAGGGUUCGAUUCCCUUAUACAGUACGA